AGGCAUUUAGAGAUGGGCGGUCCAUUUAAAAUGAAUAAAUAAAUUAAAGACAACAAAUCGAGGACAACGUGUGGCAAUAGUAUUAAUGAUAUGCCUCUGACAACACGUUUUGUAGAUGACCAGGGCAAGUUUGAUGAAGCCUAUAAAACACAGACAUACAAUGUGACCUUUUCAUGGGGGGCAGAAACUUCAUAAUGCUACCCCGACCAGGAGGCGGAUUGAGCAGCCAAUCAAAUCAAAUCAAUUAAAAUACGUUUCAAUGUUAAAAGUCUAGGCUAUUGGAAAGUUUUUACUGAAAGUGUUUUGUCUACUUUCAUGCAGCUAGUGUAGCCAUUCAAUUAAAUUGUAAGUUGCAAGAAAAGUGUAGAACCAAGAAACCAAGAAAAAUCUAAAGUCGAACCAGGCAAGAGUCCACUUGAGCAUCAAUGGAAGCUACUUGGAUGCAGGGGUCUUCUUCCCAGAGUACCAAGAGCUUCCACAGAGGAGAGAGCCCACGCAGGGCGCAUUGUGUGGAGAUCAGCCCCUAGCGACGGUGUUAUAAGGAAUUGAAAACGAAGCACCCCUCUUCGCAAAAAUAAUGCUCGUGACAGGCGUUGCAUGCGCAAUGAACGGUUUUGCUGUUGAUUCCAAGUAGCCUCCAGUAUAAAAUGGGUCCGCGUCAUACCCUGACAUCUUCCUUCGAGAGAGGGCUGGAAUCUCAGUUCCCUGCUAGCGUCAGCCUUGGAAGGAGGAGCCUCUAAAACGGAGACAGGCUGCUGUGGAAAGAGGAUUGUUGACCCUCCCCACUCUGCUCAUUCCCCGAGGACCCGCCUUGUUGCUGGUUGGGUGUCGCUCUUCGUUCUGCCUGGUGGUGGCCCUUAAGAGUUUUGAGUCUCGUGAACGUGCACCUACACACACCCGGUGCGUACAGAGGGCUAUAGUGCAGCAGCCAUGACGGACGCAGUGAUGGGCGGUAGCUCGGACCGCUGGGUACCCAACGACAGGCAGAGGAGCAUGCAUGCCAA